UACGAAGGGGGCUAGCGUUGUUCGGAAUUACUGGGCGUAAAGGGCGCGCAGGCGGCCCUCCAAGUCAGGCGUGAAAGCCCCGGGCUCAACCCGGGAACAGCGCUUGAGACUGGGGGGCUUGAGUUCGGGAAAGGAGAGUGGAAUUCCCAGUGUAGAGGUGAAAUUCGUAGAUAUUGGGAAGAACACCGGUGGCGAAGGCGGCUCUCUGGACCGACACUGACGCUGAGGCGCGAAAGCGUGGGGAUCAAACAGG
rnacentral:rRNA from 1 species